rnacentral:tRNA from 1 species
AAGGAUUUAAGUUAAAUAAACUAUUAACCUUCAAAGUUAAAAAUAGAAGAUUUCUAAGCCUUA